rnacentral:rRNA from 1 species
AACGAACGCUGGCGGCGUGCCUAACGCAUGCAAGUCGAACGAGAAAGGGGCUUCGGCUCCGAGUAAAGUGGCGCACGGGUGAGUAACACGUGGGUAACCUGCCUCUAAGAUUGGGAUAACUCGUCGAAAGAUGAGCUAAUACCGAAUAAGACCACAGUUCCCGCGGGAACAGGGGUCAAAGGUAGCCUCUGCUUGCAAGCUAUCACUUAAAGAUGGGCCUGCGCACCAUUAGCUAGUUGGUAGGGUAACGGCCUACCAAGGCAAAGAUGGUUAGCUGGUCUGAGAGGAUGAUCAGCCACACUGGAACUGAGACACGGUCCUGACUCCUACGGGAGGCAGCAGUGGGGAAUUUUGGACAAUGGGCGCAAGCCUGAUCCAGCCAUGCCGCGUGAGUGAAGAAGGCCUUCGGGUUGUAAAGCUCUUUCGGCG